rnacentral:misc_RNA from 1 species
UUAGUUGAGUUGAAUUGAGUUGAACAAAUUUUUUGAAUAGAAAUAUACUCUGCACAUACAAAAAUAAAAGAAAACUACUUCAUGUGUUAAGAAACUAUAGCUAACCUGGUAUGUGAAAUACAGUUGUGAAAGAAUAAAGAAUAUGCUGAAAAAUAUCCUUUCUGGGAAACAAGAAGAAUCUAUUUCUCUCAAGGGUGGUAAGGAUCAACCAGAUUAACUCAUUUGUGGAAUAUGUUUGACUUUGAGCUUAUGAAAUGAUGUGACAGCAAAAUAGGAUUGACAAUGAGAUGGACUGGUAUGCCUAUUCAAUUGUUUUUAAUAAUAUUGUAAAAUAUUAAAAAAAAUCUUGUUCUUUUAUAUUAGUGUUAAAGGAUACAUUUAUAUUACAUUUUGAAUACUUUUGGUGAAUAUUUAGUGAAAAAAUAAUAACCUUGAAUAAUGAGUAUCAUCUUUGAUGAUAAACAAGUUUUUACAUAUAUCUAUGAGUCAAAUUAUUUGUAUAUAUAAGUUGGGGUAAAACCAAGGUGGUGUGGGAGGGCCGGAGGGGAUUCUUCGUCAAACUCCCAG